UCUAAAUUUUAUUUUAGUUUAAAAAGUUAGAAAUUACAUUAAAUGUAUAUAAAUUUAAAAUUUAACAAAUUUAAAAAUUUAACAUUUAAAAUUUAAAAUAUAGAGCAAUCUAUUAAAAGAAUUUAUAUUGAUUCUAACCAAUUAGGUGCCAGCAGUUGCGGUUAAACCUAAAGUUAACUAACUGGAUAUUUAAAUGCAUUAUAUUGAGUGUGUAAGAUACUAGUAAAAUAAAUUAUAAGUAAGUGAAAUUUUUAAAAUUUAUAACAUCUUGACAAUAAAAAUUUAAUUUUCUAUUAAAAACUAGGAUUAGAUACCCUACUAUUUAGAAUAACUAUAAUUAAAGUAGUAAAAGAAAAUCUUCAAACUUAAAAGAUUUGGCGGUAGUUUAACCUAACUAGAGGAAUCUGCUCUAUAAUUGACAAUCCACAAUCUGUUACAUUUUAUAUAAGUAUAUUUAUAUAUCGCUGUUAAACAUAAAUUUAAAAAUGAUAUUUAAAAUUUGUUUAAACUCACAAAAUCAAGUCAACACAUAAUUUUUAAAAAUGAAGUGGAUUACAUUUAAAUUAGAUUAAUAGUUCAAUUCUGCAAAUAGGGUUUUUAAAAAGGAUUUAGAAGUAAAUUAAAAUUAAGUUUUUUAAUUAAAUCUGACAUAAACUAUGUACAAAUCGCCCGUCACUCUUAUAUAAAUUAAGAUAAGUCGUAACAAAGUAAGAUUACUGGAAAGUAAUAUUAGAUU
rnacentral:ncRNA from 1 species